AUACGGAGGAUCCGAGCGUUAUCCGGAUUUAUUGGGUUUAAAGGGUGCGCAGGCGGCGCGUUAAGUCAGUGGUGAAAUGUCCCGGCUCAACCGGGGAACUGCCGCUGAUACUGACGUGCUCGAGUACGGACGGCGCCGGCGGAAUGUGUCAUGUAGCGGUGAAAUGCUUAGAUAUGCCACAGAACACCGAUCGCGAAGGCAGCUGGCGAGGCCGGUACUGACGCUCAGGCACGAAAGCGUGGGGAUCAAACAGGAUUAGAUACCCUGGUAGUCCACGCAGUAAACGAUGAGGACUUGUUGUCGGCGAUAGAGUGUCGGUGACAAAGCGAAAGCGAUAAGUCCUCCACCUGGGGAGUACGAUCGCAAGGUUGAAACUUAAAGGAAUUGACGGGG
rnacentral:rRNA from 1 species